rnacentral:RNase_P_RNA from 1 species
CGGCCCAGGCGACUGCUCCGGAUAGGAGAGGAAAGUCCAUGCUCGCACCGGCUGUGAUGCCGGUAGUGAUUGCGCUAGGGGAAUCAAUAACCCUAGGUACGCUGGAGAGCGUAACGGCGGCAUAACGUCCCCUGCGGACGGGAAGCCCCAAGGUGCCACAGAGACGAGCCGGAUGGCGACAUCCGGAUGAAACGCGGUAAACCCCACAAGCGAGAAACCUAAAUUUGGUAAGGGAAGCGCCCGAAGCGAAUCGAAGCUUAGGGAGCCGGCGCAAGCCGAGAUAAAUUGUCGCCCCCGACAGAACAUGGCUUAUCGGG